UCUCGGCUUAUCACCGGCAGUCCCCUUAGAGUGCCCAACUGAAUGAUGGCAACUAGGGGCGAGGGUUGCGCUCGUUGCGGGACUUAACCCAACAUCUCACGGCACGAGCUGACGACGGCCGUGCAGCACCUGUGCACGCUCCCUCGCGGGUCCUUCGGGUUUCCCCUCCGUACCACGUGCAUGUCAAGCCCGGGUAAGGUUCUUCGCGUUGCAUCGAAUUAAACCACACGCUCCGCUGCUUGUGCGGGCCCCCGUCAAUUCCUUUGAGUCUUAGCCUUGCGGCCGUAGUCCCCAGGCGGGGUGCUUACUGCGUUAGCUGCGGCACAGAGAGGGUUGAAGACCUCCCCACACCUAGCACUCAACGUUUACGGCUGGGACUAC
rnacentral:misc_RNA from 1 species